rnacentral:rRNA from 1 species
ACCGAUAGUGAACCAGUACCGUGAGGGAAAGGCGAAAAGAACCCCUGUGAGGGGAGUGAAAUAGAACCUGAAACCGUGUACGUACAAGCAGUAGGAGCAGGCUUUGUCCUGUGACUGCGUACCUUUUGUAUAAUGGGUCAGCGACUUAUAUUCAGUGGCAAGGUUAACCAUCUAGGGGAGCCGUAGGGAAACCGAGUCUUAACUGGGCGUUCAGUCUCUGGAUAUAGACCCGAAACCAGGUGAUCUAGCCAUGGGCAGGUUGAAGGUUGAGUAACAUCAACUGGAGGACCGAACCGACUAAUGUUGAAAA